GUCGAACGGAGAUUAUACGCAGAGGCGAUUUCGGUCAAUCAUGUGUAAUCUUAGUGGCGGACGGGUGAGUAACGCGUGGGUAACCUGCCUUACACUGGGGGAUAACACUUAGAAAUAGGUGCUAAUACCGCAUAAGCGCACGAAGCCGCAUGGAUUUGUGUGAAAAACUCCGGUGGUGUAAGAUGGACCCGCGUCUGAUUAGCUUGUUGGCGGGGUAACGGCCCACCAAGGCGACGAUCAGUAGCCGGCCUGAGAGGGUGGACGGCCACAUUGGGACUGAGACACGGCCCAAACUCCUACGGGAGGCAGCAGUGGGGGAUAUUGGACAAUGGGGGGAACCCUGAUCCAGCGACGCCGCGUGAGUGAAGAAGUAUUUCGGUAUGUAAAGCUCUGUCAGCAGGGAAGAAAGAAAUGACGGUACCUGACCAAGAAGCCCCGGCUAACUACGUGCCAGCAGCCGCGGUAAUACGUAGGGGGCAAGCGUUAUCCGGAAUUACUGGGUGUAAAGGGAGCGUAGACGGUUAAGUAAGUCUGGAGUGAAAGGCCGGGGCCCAACCCCGGGACUGCUCUGGAAACUAUUCAACUUGAGUGCAGGAGAGGUAAGCGGAAUUCCU
rnacentral:rRNA from 1 species